GGUGGCUAACUGUGCUGCGAGUGCCUGAUCCGGUCAGAUCUUAGAAGCUAGGCAGGGCCAGGCCUGGUUAGUACUUGGAUGGGAGACCGCAGUGGAAGACCAGGGCCCGCUA
rnacentral:rRNA from 12 species